UUUAGGGUGUUGUUUCCUAAACAGGGUAGUUUUCCCUAAACCGAGAUUCUUUUUUUCUGGAAAUUCUGGACUUGAAUGAUCUCUAUAUAAAGAACCCGAGCAAAGAACUCAUGUGAUGAUGCUGUGUAUUGAUAAUCCACAGAACGCAUGCGACGAUGCGUGUAUUGAUAAGUCAGAUUUCACGGAUAUUGCUCUCCGUUAUUUUGAAGAUUUGCGGCCAUACUAAUAAUCACAUGCAAGUUGUUGCCUUCCUGGUGACAGGAGCGCAAUAAUAAUGUAACUUGCUGCCUUGCUGACGAUAUGAGCGUCAAUACUAAAAUGUCUCAAGAUGUUUUCCUUUGAUUCAGUCGAACAAUGAACACGAGUUCAAAUUACUUCUAACAUCAGCGCAAUAUUUUGGUUGCUCUAUUCGUUAUUUUCGAGCAUUUGGUGAUGGUUUGUUUCUGCCUGGAGCAUUUGGUUCUCCGCUGCCAGGUGGGUGCACUUCCGUUUCCUUCAAAGCUUCAACCCGUGAGUGGAAAAAUCUUUAUGACCUUAACAUCUCCAACACAAUUAAUUGGAGUUUAUGAUGUGAGAUCAUAUCUUGAGAUCUUACUCUUUUUAACAAUGUUGUGCGAUUCAAUUUUGGUAUGACACCUUUAUUUAUUUUCUCCAUUUUGUGAUCCCCAUUAAAUGUGUAGAUUUCAGAAAAUUUUACUGCAAAUAUUGUCGGUUAUAGUUUUUGACAUUUGUUUAGUAAAUUUUCAUCAAAAAUAUAUAUAGUGGAAUGUAUCAGUUGUGGAAGUCCAGGCGUAAGUGAGUACAUAUGUGCUCACUUUUUGCAUCUGUGCAUAGGUGCUAGGGUAUUGGGCGCUUAAGGGAGGUACUAAAAUUGAGUGAGCUAGAUUUUAACUGUUUUUGUCCAUUAAUAUUUUUCUUGAUCAUCUCCCUUACUGUAUUAGUUUUUGAAAGUAAAAACACAUCCUUGACACAAUGUUGUAGCUUUGAGUCUUCUGUGGCCUCUAAUUUUUUCUUUCAUGGCUGCUCUGCUUUUGUCAUGUUCUAGAUCAAUGCAAAUGGCAUGACCUACAAGAAAAUGACUUUAUAGGUGGGUAUCCAAAGCCGAUGAAAUACUUUGGUUGAAGGAUUUUAGUCAGAGUACGGUAUACUCUCUUAUAGCAACAUUGCAUUCUGCACUUUUCAGAUAUAUCCACAGGAGAGUUCAUGGAAUUUAUGUCUCGCUGGAUAAAAUUAAUGAGUAUGUGGUAAUAAAGUUUCAACGGUACCUUGGACAAGUAGGAAAAGGCAUACAAUCAAAUGGGUUUUUGUAGUUGGCGAUGCAAAAAAUAGGUUUACAACCUCUUCUACAUUAUUUUUUCUUGAAAGAUAAUUUAAACCAAGAAAGUGUUGCCAUGCACUGAUAGUUAUGAUGCUAAAAAAUGUUGUAAAUUCGAUGCUAGCAAAUAUAGUCUAUGGAGUUCCAAGGGUUGUGCUCCCUAUUUUUUCUAUUUCUUAUUGUGUUCGUUUGUUGUCUUUAAGAAUGUGAUCUUUUCUCUUUUAAAUUUUCGUCCUGACACAAAUUAACUAUUGCCAUCCCUGAUUGAGGAUAGCCGGCAGGUGCAGAUAGAACUUCUCAUGAAUAAAUAUGGGCAUACAACCUAAAGAAUAAAUGAAAGGUGCAAAGUCAACUUUCGUCGUACCUCCGGUAAGCCAAUAUCUAACCAGUAUGAUCUACUUAUUUAAAUAUCAUUAGCUCAGUGUAGUCUUGGAAAAAAUUAUUGCGACCAGUUCAAGUCUCAAGAAUAAUUAUAUAAGUAUACAAAUCCAAAUCAGGUAAUGUCCGACCAACAUUGGCAUUUUUGAACAGAUAUAUCCAACCCAUCCUGGAAGAGGAAUCCUGAAAAGGAGGUUAGCUCUUUUUGCGUUUCUCCUUAAUCCGGUAUAUGUAUAGGGAUUGAUAUACUUGAAAAAGAUGAUCGAGAAUGGUUCCCUUGAAGAAAAUCAUCUCCGUUUGGCGUUGGUGGUUGCGCUUGAGCUCAAGGAGUUGCUACAACUGGAGUCGUUCAAGUCUCAUUUCCAGCCAAGAACAUAAAUAGCUUAAAUAGAGAAAAAUUCUCAACUAAUCAACCCACUAAACAUCAACAAGAGAAACAAAGAGCAUCAGCCCGAGAGGCGAGAAAGAAAAUUACCUGAUAAUUUUUAUUAUAUUAUAUAUCUUGAUGGUUCAUGUGCGUCUUAACUUUAUUAACUUAACAGGUUGAUAACUUGAAUAAGAAAUGCGGACUUGCUAAAAUGAUUGAUUUAGCAAUUGCAUCUCUGUUACUAAGGUUUUUCAGCGAGUUUCAAGAUACUAAAAGAUCACUUGACGUCACAAUUAAUGCAAGGAAACCAGAGGUAGAAAGUGCUAUGGCUGAGCGCAGUUCAACAACUUGUUAACAUCAAGAGCAUCACUUCAAGUAGUCAAGAAUCAUUAAACAUUAUCCAACCUCAAACUCCUGAUGCAGUUUAUUACAAAUCUGGAUUAUCAAUGAGAAAAUUACAUACAUCGGCACUAGCUUGCUAGGCUUUAAGCCUCCCAGGUCAAAAAUAGUUUACAUGCUGAACCAUUUGUUUCAAAACAUAAAAGUUUUGAGUAAAUGUCAAUAAAGAUGGUCAAAGGCCCCGACUUUUGGGAAUUUUACGCGUGACUCUGAUCAGUUUAGACGUAAUAGUGGCAAGUUUUCAAGGAGAUUUAGAUUGCCAAUAGACUAAAGUUGAUCAAGCUAUAGAGAAAUGAUGGAUGUGAAUGUGAGUAUUCUACCUGAACUUUUAGUUUGGAAUUUUUUAUUUAUUUGCUGCCUUUGUACGAAAAGUGAUGGUUGUGGGGGCAAGCUUACUAAUGCUAAUAAGUGACCAAUGGGUGUUUUAUUAUAGCACAUUUGAACCCAUUCUUGUAAACAUGAAUGAACUUAUUUCAUAUGCGGUCUUGAUAUCACAAAUACAACAUAAAUGAAAAAAGUUUGGUACUUAAGAAAAGAAGUCAAGAAAUAGUAGGCGUCCAAUUUCAACUUUCGGACUUUCUGGAAAAAUUAGUGAAUCAUAGGUUCCAAAUCUUACAAUUAGCACACUAGUAUUACAAAUAGAUAGCGUACUGUUAGAUUGAAAAU